rnacentral:rRNA from 1 species
CAGUAGCCACGGGAAAACGUAGGUGGCAAGCGUUGUCCGGAAUUAUUGGGCGUAGAGCGCGCGCAGGCGGAUCAGUCAGUCUGUCUUAAAAGUUCGGGGCUUAACCCCGUGAUGGGAUGGAAACUGCUGAUCUAGAGUAUCGGAGAGGAAAGUGGAAUUCCUAGUGUAGCGGUGAAAUGCGUAGAUAUUAGGAAGAACACCAGUGGCGAAGGCGACUUUCUGGACGAAAACUGACGCUGAGGCGCGAAAGCCAGGGGAGCGAACGGGAUUAGAUACCCCCGUAGUCCCUGUCUCUUAUACA